AUUGAACGCUGGCGGCAUGCCUUACACAUGCAAGUCGAACGGUAACAGGUCUUCGGAUGCUGACGAGUGGCGAACGGGUGAGUAAUACAUCGGAACGUGCCCGAUCGUGGGGGAUAACGGAGCGAAAGCUUUGCUAAUACCGCAUACGAUCUACGGAUGAAAGCAGGGGACCGCAAGGCCUUGCGCGGACGGAGCGGCCGAUGGCAGAUUAGGUAGUUGGUGGGAUAAAAGCUUACCAAGCCGACGAUCUGUAGCUGGUCUGAGAGGACGACCAGCCACACUGGGACUGAGACACGGCCCAGACUCCUACGGGAGGCAGCAGUGGGGAAUUUUGGACAAUGGGCGCAAGCCUGAUCCAGCCAUGCCGCGUGCAGGAUGAAGGCCUUCGGGUUGUAAACUGCUUUUGUACGGAACGAAACGGCUCUUUCUAAUAAAGAGGGCUAAUGACGGUACCGUAAGAAUAAG
rnacentral:rRNA from 1 species